GUCACUCAAAGAAAUCUUAAUUCUAUAUACAAAUCAUUCGUCUCGAUUUUGAGUAAGUUUAAAAUCGUCAUGAUGAUGCAAAACUCCAUCAAAUAGCAGUUGUUUGAUGUAAGACAAACCCCGGCCCCCUCAAACAAGAACUUGGGACGCAUUACACGAACAAAAUGAAGUGCACCAUAAGCUGGACUCCACUAUAUAGGACCAGUGAUGCAUCAACGAAUCCUUUCAAGCACGGAAGCUUUUCUACCACCUUAAGUUGGACUAAUGCUCGUUAUACGACGACUGACGCUUCAAAUGAAUCAUGUUUAGCACGAAAACUUUUCUACCACCUUAAGUGGACUUCAUUUUCUUAAUUAUACAGCUCCUAACUUUAGAACAGAAUUGGAAAUAAAAAAGUUGGCCUCUAUCCACUAACUUUUCUAUCACUCUGUAUAUAUGAUCAGAUUGUGCAACAUCUUUGUAUGAGUAUGGCUGCAUCAUUUAUUCAGAUGAGCUUCGUAUUGUUGCUCCUCAAUCUUCUGCUUGGGGCAGCCUAUUUACCACACCUCACUGCUCUUCCCUCUCAAUCAUCAGCUUCCCCUGUCUAUGCUAACUACCAUGGACGCCGCCUAUCCAACCACCAUCAAGUUUACAGGAGUGAUCCACGCCCUGCCCACGGUGGAAGCAUUAAUGAUUGAAGAGAUUUCACAUCAGCAUGCAUGAAUGGCUUCUUCUCAACUUUCUGCAUUCCAAACAAUUCUUGUAACAAAUCGUCUGCCUCCACCGCAUCCUCAAGUGUUUGUGUACCAUACCAUAUGAUUUGAGGUCUGCAGUCCCAGUGCUUGCAUAAUAAUUAUGUAUGUGAUGCAGAUAUCAUAUGUACAGGAUCACAAAUAACGUUAUUCCAUGGGUAACUUCAUAUUAUUAGCGAGUCUGCAAUUUUUUAUCAAACAUCUUUGUAUUCAAUUGGAAUUUUAAUGAAUUUUAUAUAGUUUGUGGAA